GGGAUUGCCUCAGUAACGGCGAGUGAAGCGGCAACAGCUCAAAUUUGAAAUCUGGCGCCUUGGGCGUCCGAGUUGUAAUUUGUAGAGGGAGUCUCGGGUUAAGGGUCGGUCCAAGUGCCUUGGAACAGGAUACCGAAGAGGGUGAGAGUCCCGUAUCCGGCCGACGCCAGCGCCCGUGUGAGGCCCCUUCGACGAGUCGAGUUGUUUGGGAAUGCAGCUCUAAAUGGGUGGUAAAUUCCAUCUAAAGCUAAAUACUGGCCAGAGACCGAUAGCGCACAAGUAGAGUGAUCGAAAGAUGAAAAGCACUUUGAAAAGAGAGUCAAACAGUACGUGAAAUUGUUGAAAGGGAAGCGUAUGUGGGCAGACUUGGACGCUGGAUUCAGGCCGCCUUCUGGCGGGUGCAUUUUCCAGCGGACAGGCCAGCAUCGGUUCUGAGGGCCGGACAAAGACGAAGGGAAUGUGGCUCCUCUCUGGGGAGUGUUAUAGCCCGGCGUGCAAUGCGGCCACUUGGGACCGAGGACCGCGCAUUUUGCAAGGAUGCUGGCGUAAUGGCCUCAUACGGCCCGUCUUGAAACACGGACCAAGGAGUCUAACAUCUAUGCGAGUGUUUGGGUGUCAAGCCCGGGCGCGCAAUGAAAGUGAACGGAGGUGGGAGUCUGUGUUAGAGCGGAUGCACCAUCGACCGAUCCUGAAGUAUUCGGAAGGAUUUGAGUAAGAGCAUAGCUGUUGGGACCCGAAAGAUGGUGAACUAUGCGUGAAUAGGGUGAAGCCAGAGGAAACUCUGGUGGAGGCUCGCAGCGG
rnacentral:rRNA from 1 species